rnacentral:rRNA from 1 species
AUACGUAGGGGGCAAGCGUUGUCCGGAAUUACUGGGCGUAAAGGGUGCGCAGGCGGCUUGGUUAGUCAGAAGUGAAAUUCCUGAGCUCAACUCGGGCGCUGCUUCUGAAACUGCAGGACUUGAGUGCUGGAGGGGAUAGCGGAAUUCCUAGUGGAGCGGUAAAAUGCGCAGAUAUUAGGAAGAACACCGGUGGCGAAGGCGGCUAUCUGGACAGUAACUGACGCUGAGGCGCGAAAGCGGGGGGAGCAAACAGGAUUAGAUGCCCUGGUAGUCCACGCCGUAAACGAUGAGUGCUAGGUGUUGGGGGUCAAACCUCGGUGCCGCAGCUAACGCAUUAAGCACUCCGCCUGGGGAGUACGUACGCAAGUAUGAAACUCAAAUGAAUUGACGGGG